AUAACACUCUGGAAACAGGUGCUAAUACCGCAUAACAGGUUUAUGCCGCAUGGCAUAAGAGUGAAAGGCGCUUUCGGGUGUCGCUGAUGGAUGGACCCGCGGCUGCAUUAGCUAGUUGGUGAGGUAACGGCUCACCAAGGCCACGAUGCAUAGCCGACCUGAGAGGGGGAUCGGC
rnacentral:rRNA from 1 species